rnacentral:rRNA from 1 species
UACGUAGGGUGCAAGCGUUGUCCGGAAUUAUUGGGCGUAAAGAGCUCGUAGGCGGUUUGUCGCGUCUGCUGUGAAAACUCGGGGCUUAACUCCGGGCCUGCAGUGGGUACGGGCAGACUAGAGUGCGGUAGGGGAGACUGGAAUUCUCGGUGUAGCGGUGAAAUGCGUAGAUAUCGAGAGGAACACCUGCGGCGAAGGCGGGUAGCUGGGCCGACACUGACGCUGAUGCGCGAAAGCCAGGGGAGCGAACGGGG